CCUUAGAGUUUGAUCCUGGCUCAGGAUGAACGCUAGCUACAGGCUUAACACAUGCAAGUCGAGGGGAAACGAUAUUGGAAGCUUGCUUCCGAUAGGCGUCGACCGGCGCACGGGUGAGUAACGCGUAUCCAACCUGCCCACCACUUGGGGAUAACCUUGCGAAAGUAAGACUAAUACCCAAUGAUAUCUCUAGAAGACAUCUGAAAGGGAUUAAAGAUUUAUCGGUGAUGGAUGGGGAUGCGUCUGAUUAGCUUGUUGGCGGGGUAACGGCCCACCAACGAGGCGACGAUCAGUAGGGGUUCUGAGAGGAAGGUCCCCCACAUUGGAACUGAGACACGGUCCAAACUCCUACGGGAGGCAGCAGUGAGGAAUAUUGGUCAAUGGGCGAGAGCCUGAACCAGCCAAGUAGCGUGCAGGAUGACGGCCCUAUGGGUUGUAAACUGCUUUUAUAAGGGAAUAAAGUGAGCCUCGUGAGGCUUUUUGCAUGUACCUUAUGAAUAAGGACCGGCUAAUUCCGUGCCAGCAGCCGCGGUAAUACGGAAGGUCCGGGCGUUAUCCGGAUUUAUUGGGUUUAAAGGGAGCGUAGGCCGGAGAUUAAGCGUGUUGUGAAAUGUAGACGCUCAACGUCUGCACUGCAGCGCGAACUGGUUUCCUUGAGUACGCACAAAGUGGGCGGAAUUCGUGGUGUAGCGGUGAAAUGCUUAGAUAUCACGAAGAACUCCGAUUGCGAAGGCAGGCUCACUGGAGCGCAACUGACGCUGAAGCUCGAAAGUGCGGGUAUCGAACAGGAUUAGAUACCCUGGUAGUCCGCACGGUAAACGAUGGAUGCCCGCUGUUGGUCUGAAUAGGUCAGCGGCCAAGCGAAAGCAUUAAGCAUCCCACCUGGGGAGUACGCCGGCAACGGUGAAACUCAAAGGAAUUGACGGAAGGGCGAAU
rnacentral:rRNA from 1 species